UACGGAGGGUGCGAGCGUUGUCCGGAAUCAUUGGGCGUAAAGGGCGCGUAGGUGGCUUCUUAAGCGUGCGGUGAAAGCCUGGGGCUCAACCCCGGGUCGGCCGUGCGAACUGUUUUGCUUGAGCACUGUAGAGGCAGGCGGAAUUCCGGGUGUAGCGGUGGAAUGCGUAGAGAUCCGGAAGAACACCGGUGGCGAAGGCGGCCUGCUGGGCAGUAGCUGACACUGAGGCGCGACAGCGUGGGAGCAAACAGG
rnacentral:rRNA from 1 species